rnacentral:rRNA from 1 species
CCUACGGGUGGCUGCAGUAGGGAAUAUUGCUCAAUGGGGGAAACCCUGAAGCAGCCACGCCGCGUGGAGGAUGAAGGUUUUCGGAUUGUAAACUCCUUUUGUUAGAGAAGAUAAUGACGGUAUCUAACGAAUAAGCACCGGCUAACUCCGUGCCAGCAGCCGCGGUAAUACGGAGGGUGCAAGCGUUACUCGGAAUCACUGGGCGUAAAGAGCGCGUAGGCGGGAUAGCAAGUCAGAUGUGAAAUCGUAUGGCUUAACCAUAGAACUGCAUUUGAAACUGUUAUUCUAGAGUAGGGGAGAGGUAGGUGGAAUUCUUGGUGUAGGGGUAAAAUGCGUAGAGAUCAAGAGGAAUACUGAUUGCGAAGGCGACCUGCUAGAACAUAACUGACGCUGAUGCGCGAAAGCGUGGGGAGCGAACAGGAUUAGAUACCCGUGUAGUC